rnacentral:lncRNA from 1 species
CAAAGCAAUCAUAAAAGAAAAUUAUAACUAAUUUCCAGCAUGAAUCAUCUAAGUCUAGCACAAAUCAUCUACUCUAACGAUAAGCAUGACUUGUCUAACCUAGCAUGAUGCAUCUGAUCAUUAAAUCAUGAAACAUGAAAUCGAUAUCACAUGAAUAUCUCCUCCAAACCACAGGUGUUGGAUUCGAUGAAAUAGAUCAAUCUAUGUAAAAUAUUUUAUGCAAGAUAAAUGUUUUACAUAAAUUGGAUAAAUCAUAAGAUCAAUUGAUAAAUUCUUCAUCAUGCAACAAUCUUAUAAUACAAACUCAAAUCAAUAAAAAUGAAACAAAUACUCCUCUAUGGCUUCAUCGAACCCCUAAACCGAGGUUCAGCUGCUCAUGGUGCUUGUCAUCUCCAUUGGUUGGCUGAAGAACUCCUUUGCCAUCCGCCUCAAAC